AGUUCUGGUAACGGACAAGUCCUAGUGGCAAGUGGCAAUUUACUCGCUCGAUCGAUCAACGACGAACCACGAGUAUCGAUCGAAUCGGUUGACCGAUCGAUGGAUCGCUUGGCAAUAUUAGGUUGUUUUAGACACACAGAGAAACACAUACACGUAUACCGUCGGCGAGUUGUUAUUUUCGUGGUCUCGGGAGCAACCGUUGUCUCGGGUACGUAGUAGUAGUAGUAGUAGUAGUAGUAAUAGUAGUAGUAGUAGUAGAGUGAUGGUAUAGUAGUAGUAGUAGCAGUAUUAGUAGUAGCAGUGAUAGUACUUGGUUUAUUUUCAGUGUGGCUAGCGGAGGUUAGGCUUACUGUUCCGCCUCUCUAUGAUAAACACGCUCUCGUAAUCUCGAUUAUCGAGGUGGAGUGCGUGAUGGUCACGAUCACGGUUCGGGGGGGCCUGCUCGUGGACCGGCUCCGAGGUGGCAGUGGCGGGGGUGGUUACUUGCGUAGGAAGUGGUGGUUGAUGAAGAGGUUGUGGUGGUGGUGGUGGUAGUUGCGGAUUCAACGGGCUGCAACGGGUCAGCGUCGAGACUGACUCGCCGCACGCGUUUAGAUUUGUCGACCUACAGAAAACA